GGCGAUCAGAUACCGCCCUAGUUCUGACCAUAAACGAUGCCAACUAGCGAUCUGCCGGUGGAAUUUUUGCCCUGGUAGGGAGCUUCCCGGAAACGAAAGUCUUCCGGUUCCGGGGGAAGUAUGGUUGCAAAGCUGAAACUUAAAGGAAUUGACGGAAGGGCACCACCAGGAGUGGAGCCUGCGGCUUAAUUUGACUCAACACGGGAAAACUCACCCGGCCCGGACACCGUGAGGAUUGACAGAUUGAUAGCUUUUUCAUGAUUCGGUGGAUGGUGGUGCAUGGCCGUUCUUAGUUCGUGGAGCGAUUUGUCUGGUUUAUUCCGAUAACGAGCGAGACUCUAUCCUACUAAAUAGUGUGCCCAUUGCCUCUGUGGGUGGCACUUCUUAGAGGGAUUUUCGGUGUACAGCCGCACGAAAAAGAGCAAUAACAGGUCUGUGAUGCCCUUAGAUGUCCGGGGCUGCACGCGCGCUACACUGGCGAAAUCAGCGUGCCUGUCCUUUCUCGAAAGAGAUUGGUAAACCAAUCAAAAUUUGCCGUGAUUGGGAUCGGAAAUUGCAAUUAUUUUCCGUGAACGAGGAAUUCCAAGUAAAUGCGAGUCAUCAACUCGCGUUGAUUACGUCCCUGCCCUUUGUA
rnacentral:rRNA from 1 species